UACGUAGGGGGCAAGCGUUGUCCGGAAUCAUUGGGCGUAAAGCGCGCGUAGGCGGUUACUCAAGUUGGAUGUGAAAGCCCUCGGCUUAACUGAGGAAGUGCAUCCAAAACUGAGUAGCUAGAGUACUAAAGAGGGUCGCGGAAUUCCGGUGUAGAGGUGAAAUUCGUAGAUAUCGGGAGGAACACCGGUGGCGAAGGCGGCGACCUGGGUAGAUACUGACGCUGAGGCGCGAAAGCGUGGGGAGCAAACAGGG
rnacentral:rRNA from 1 species